rnacentral:rRNA from 1 species
UACGUAGGCAGCGAGCGUUGUUCGGAGUUAUUGGGCGUAAAGAGUGCGUAGGCGGUUUUCUAAGUUUGGGGUGAAAUCUCCCGGCUCAACUGGGAGGGUGCGCCGAAGACUGGAAGGCUUGAGUAUGGGAGAGGUAAGCGGAAUUCCUGGUGUAGCGGUGAAAUGCGUAGAUAUCAGGAGGAACACCUGCGGUGUAGACGGCUUACUGGACCAUAACUGACGCUGAGGCACGAAAGCGUGGGUAGCAAACAGG